rnacentral:lncRNA from 1 species
GGCGUGAGUUAUGGGUUCUAGGGUUUCAUCUCUAGAUUUUGUGAGAAGAAAAAUAUAAGAAUGAGUCUUGUUUAAUCUUCCACACCAUCACUUUUUUGUAAAGCUUCAUCUUUUGAUGAGGAGAAGUCUGAGAAAUCCAAAGAAAGGAGUUUGGAUCAGCCAUCCAGAGUCUUAGACACGAUUUAGCACUCCCACGAAGGAAGAUCUGAUCAAAGCUUCGAGUGGACGAUCUAUAGAGGUCGAACAACCUGUGCAGCUGCUCGACAUCAACGAGAGCUUCAUACCAUGCC